AUGAAUGUCAGUGUUCGACGAGUCGACAGGUGUUCUGUGUCAAAUAUGUCGUACCUCCCCAGCAGGUUUGAGAUAGGUUUCCUCGGCAACCAGGCCUGAAGGUUGUUGUUUCCCCUAGCAGGGUUGAGAUUGUUAUAUCCCCAGCAAGUUGGAAGGUUGCCGUUUCCCCAGCGGAGGUGUGCGUUGGUAGCUGUUUCCCCAGCGAAGUCCCCAAGAGGAUCGAGUUCGGUGGAGGUCAUCCCUGGUGAGGGUUGUCCUUU
rnacentral:lncRNA from 1 species